UGCUUUUUCACGAGGCCUGGCAGUGUUGUUGUUUUAUAUUUGUUUUUUUGUUUUAUUUCAUUCAUAAUAUAUGUCAUAGUCCCACCAACAGAAAAACACGUAUACACGGUAAUAGUUUAAUUUUUCAGAGCUUGAUAAGAUAGAUUGACAUGAGUGAGUGAGGUGAGAAUCCAAAGGUUGAAAUCUUCAGUGUCACUAAAAAACCUUCAACAAAGUUUGGUUUGGUUUCUGAAAAAGAGGGAAGGAGACAUUGCUACCAAGUCACCUUUGAUUUGACAGUGUUGUUGGUGUUGCCGGAAAAACUGGGAAAUAAAGUUAUUAUUAUCACCAUUCCAUAAAACUUAUUAAAAAUUCAAUCUUUAUUUCCCAUCCAUCAAUAACUUUUUUUUUUCCUUUAUAGUAGUCAUAUUCAUUCAACUUGGCUUCUGAUUAUUUUGACCACCAGUAUCUUGAAAUGCCAUUGUGGGAUUGUACAUAUUUUAUACUUCAUUGGCUCAUAUUCUUUUAGAUGCCAAUCAACUACUUUUGGUCUAAAUUAAACAGAUAGUGCUAUUGUCCCUUUAUUUUUGUAUUUCACUUUUUCUUUGACAUAUUCUCUCUUGGAUCAAAAUAGGUCAACUUAAUUUCUUUGACUCAUGUUUUGGUAUGUUUUAACUUUAAAGUGAGUAACAAUUUUGAACUAAAAGGAAAC
rnacentral:lncRNA from 1 species